GUGUGAUGUUGUAUUUUUUUCUGAUUGGAUGACUAUCUCCCAGAAAGAGAAGAGGGUGGGGGUGCUUUAAGAGACUCGCGCAAUAGCCCUCAUCAAAUAGUCGCCCCGGCAGGAGAGCGCAUGAGCAACACAUGCUACCAGCAAGAGCGCACAUCAUAGAGCACGAAGUUUGACCAACCCUGUCUCUUCUAACGAUAACGACGUGUUGUCACCCCUCAACAACUCAGUCUGAUAUGGUAAUGAUGAUCUACACCAGUAAUCUGAGAAGCGACAAGGAGGAAACCUGUGGGAUUAACACUAAUAAAGCACUCAUGUCCUUGUCAAGUGCUACAGGAAGCUGGCAUCUCCCAAAAGGCCGUAGCGGCCAGCAGCUGCACGUACUGUUUCCAUCAGCCGUAUCUGCAUCUACAGUUAUUUGAAUGGAAGAGAACAGAGCCGUCGGUCAUGGAACUCUAACCUCGAUUGGGAAACACAGGGUUUCGAUUUCCUGCCGAGAUCGCUCUUCAAAUAUUCAUCGUCCCUAUAUUCUGGAGCCAUUUGAUAAUUGACACUGGGACAGGUUUUAUGAUCUCCUCUCUUCAUCUGAGCGUGUGGAGCACCAUUACAGAUUGUCCUUUAACCUCUCAAACCGGACCUAUUAAACCAGCCUUUGUGUUGUGGCCCAAUGCUUUCUUGGACUAGAAUCUGCUGACAGUUAGGAGAUAUUCUGUUAAACUCUCCCUUUCUUCUCUAAUUGUGUUUGGGCUGCUUUUCUUAGAGAAAUAUUAUUCCGAGAUGCUUGAGGAUUUCCCUAGUCCAGAGAUCAGUUUUACUGACUCUCUGACUUUACCAACAUCCUGUGUUUGGGGACUUCACUUUCUUGCUUAAUCCAUUCUUUAGUGCUCAAUUUAUGCCUUCUGUUGUGACUUGGAUCUGGACAGUUAGCAUGUAUUGUAUAGCCCAGCUACCAGUUUGACCGGACAAUUAGCAUUUUUAGUCCUCAACUGCCAUUUCACUUAAUUUCAUUUGUAACUUUGUGGCCAGAGAUAAGAAAAGAGGGACCUUCAGCACG
rnacentral:lncRNA from 8 species